rnacentral:rRNA from 1 species
UACGGAGGGUGCAAGCGUUGUCCGGAUUUAUUGGGUUUAAAGGGUGCGUAGGCGGCUUUUUAAGUCAGUUGGUGAAAUACAGCAGCUCAAACUGUUGAGGUGCCAUUGAUACUGAGAGGCUUGAGUACAGAUGAGGGUAGGCGGAAUUUAUGGUGUAGCGGUGAAAUGCAUAGAUACCAUAAAGAACACCGAUUGCGAAGGCAGCUUACUAAGCUGUAACUGACGCUGAGGCACGAAAAGCGUGGGGAGCGAACAGG